UUGAGCUGGUCGAAGAUCUGCUGUAUGGACUCCAUGUGAGGCUUUAAGUCCUGGGUGUCCUCCGUCACUCCGGCCAGGGCCGUUGGCAGCACCGUGUCCAGGUAGAACUGCAGUAUGCUGUUCAUGGCGUGGCAGGCAAACGGGGUCUGAGGGGGGAGGAAAACACCAGCCCGGUUUUAUAAUGUCGCUUUUUACCCUUUACUGGUACCUUGUCGGAAACUUAAAACUGGAUUAAAAGUGAGAAACGGCGCUCAUAACGAAUGCACGUCGUGGUGUGUUAGUAGUGAAACUUACUUUGAAAGACUCCUCGACGCUCUGGUUUAGUAGCGCAGUGUCCAAGUCAUCGUUUGCUUCCUGCAAACAGAAACAGAUCGUGCUCAGCGUGCUGUGAGGCGGUAAGACAGAGAUGACAGCGCAGCAUCACCUGCAGGCUGCCCGGAGCAGAGCCGCACGGCCGCACGGCCGGCGAAGGAUGCUGCAGGCAGCGUCAAGGUGGAUGCAGAGUAGGAGCAGUGCUGUUACUCACAUAGAAGUCCCGGAUGUGUGAAUAGUUUAUUUUGAGCUUCUUUAGCCGGGCGGGAAAGUCCUCGACGAAUCUGCAACACUGGUUGUUGCACACGGGGCUGCAGCAGACAGUGCAGAAGACAGACAGGAGGACCAGGACGGACAGGAGGAGAGCCCGAGGAGUCAUGCUGGUGGACGAGCUGCUGAAGGAGAGUGGAGCCUCAGGAGUGCAGAUGCUGCUGGCUGAAUGGACGCAGAGGAUCCCUGAUGUCUGAGAGGGGGAGUCUUCUUGGUAGCACCUCGGUCAUAAUCCUGUGAGUUAGAAAGCGUGUUGAUCCGGCCGGGGCUUCAUAUCAGCUAGUUAACGUUCACUAUGCUCUCAAAGCAGAGAGACCCUGGACUUAUGAUGAAUUCCAUGAUGAAGUCAUUUAGGCUUCCUGCCAGUUCACCCAUCAUGUUUGGUCUUGGUCUGCCAACCCUCACAUGCAAAGCCAGAACCUGGUUCGUCUGAAGAGAUCAAAAGAGGAGAGACAGCCCUGAUGGCCAGUCAUCAAGCUGCUGCUGCUGGUGAUGACUGUGCUACACCUGCAGCUGUACUGAUCACCACCAGAGGGUAAUAAUGCAAAGCAGUCACCUGAUUCAAACUGAUAUCUUUCUGAUGUUAAAUCAGGUCCCCAGAUGGUUCGUAAAAAUGCCGUACAAAGAUCAACAUCAGUUCCCUGUGUUUGAACAGAAAUACUGUUUAUUCUCCAACUGAACAAAGCCCUCAAAGGCAGUGCAGCAUUAUAGGUACUUAGGAAUUUGCUUAGAUAGCAGAUUAUCUGUCAAAACUCAUAUUGAACCCCUCUGCUCUUGUACAGAAACAGACCUCCUUCCUCCUUUCGGAACGGAAAAGCCAUCAUACAAUCUACUAAUCUACUACUUUCUGCUGCCAUUAUCACCAUCAUGAUUGUGUGUUCUUUGGUUGCAUUGACAUCCAGGAAGUGUCAGCAUCCGAGAGUUUUUGUUUGUAAGUUCCUUGCUGUCUAAAUUUGUGAGAUAUUUAACGUCCUUAGUUGAGUUGAACGGUUGUGACGUUAUCAACGCUGUUUGUUCUGUAAAAAAGAUGCUGAUCUCACUGAGUUCAAGCUCAACUAACUAUGGUAACAAUAAUAUCAGAAUCAGCAACUUGCUCUGUUUAAUAGACAUGAAUACAUGAACAUUUAAAUUGUGUUAAUAAUUUAAUUAAAAAGAUAAAUAUUAAGACAUACAUAGUACAUAGUACAUAAAAAAAUUAAAAAAUGGAGAAUUAUUAAUUGCAGGUGCUUUAGUGCUGCUGAGUUUCUGUCCUAUCAUGUGUAACAGUUCUGUCAUAUUUGAGCCAGAUUUAGAUUUAGAGCAUUUCUGAGUGUAAUUAAAUUUACUUGAUUACAAAAUAAGGUUUAAAUCAAGUUAUUAAUGACCUCCAGGCAUCAGGCAUCACAAUGCUAGAAAUGUAAUAAAUUACAGAACCCUUGGGACUGUAGAUAACAUCUUAAUCGAUGUGCUGGCUCUGUUUGUGCACGUCACAUCUUUUUCUGUUGAGAUAUUUUUAACUGAUCCCUAACAUAAUAGACAAAAUAAAAUAUUCCCAACAAAAUGUUUGUGAUUUAGGUAUCAAACGUCCAUAACUGUUUAAAACUAGUUUAUUAGUACAAACGUUAAAUUAAUUUACUCUACAGCACCCUCUGCAGUCCACUUUGAGAAUGUUUGCACACAUACACCUUUAUAAACGUGUACGAGUAUUAAUGCAAUAUAACAUUCUGUUAUCAAACAACUAAUCAGACAGUUGCUGAUUGCUCUCCCAGUGCAGCAUGAGAUGCAGGAAACGGCACGUCUGAGCAUCCUGAGAGACACAUAAAGGUCAGAUCACAGCAGCUCUCACUCAAUCAUAUGAUACACUCAUGCAGUAUGAGUGUGGAGCAGAAGUGAGGAUGGAUUGCACAAGACUAGCACCUCGUGGGAUCAACAACAGAAAGACUCACCUGAACAUCCUUCAGCAGCGAUCUGUCCGGAAGUUUCACUGCAAUCUGUCAUGUCAAGACCACAAAAAGAAUGAGUUUCUGCAAGUUACCACCCACGUCAAGGUGUCAUUGACUUUGGACAAACACACCACACUGUUUAUUGAAAUUAUCUGUCAGAAUACACAUCCACUGCACAAGCAUAUUUUCUAGUUGUGCUCUGUCGUUUUACCAUUAUAGAUGCGGUGGGUUUUCACAGUCCUUGAACAGAACCUACCCUGUGAGUACAGUUUAGGUUUGUAAUGUGAAACUGCUUCUUGGAGGAAAAGUCAUUUCGUUGUAUGAGGAACAAUAGAACGAGGCAGAAGUCCUCGGUCAGGAUUGGUACGCAGCCCGAGAGGCACAGCUCAGGGCAAAAAACUUGCCUCUCUUCCCCAUUUGCAAGAACUGGACGAUGCACAGUUAUGCACGCUCCUGACUGCACUGACUAAUGCAAUAUUACGAUCUGUCCUAUGAGCCAUCGCUGAACUCUUCCCCGUCUGACGCAGUUAGCCACUUGCCUCAUGUCAAAAAGUGCAGGGAAUAUUUUUGUGUGUGGCGAUUUUGACGGUUUGUCUGUGACAGACAUGAGUGUAGGGUCGGUCAAUCACAUGCUUUCCUGAAAAGCAUGAUCACUUGGUUUCGUAUGUAUCAAAACAGAAACCGACUUAUUUAUGGAUUCAUGAGCAACGUUUCACCCUGGUAGUCCAUGUGUCAGAGUACAGUAGAGUUGAAUUAUUACCUGAAAUUUGUUUUGCACAACAAACAGUCUGACAUAACAGUCAGGGCCAGUAUGGUACUUUGUAUUUCCUCAAUUUAGAGAUUAAUUAUAGAUUGCCAUGGAGACCAUAUAGUGGUAUUUUUCUUCUGCAAGGUCCUUCUCUUUUUGAGGAGCCAGUUAAACCUCAACACCAUCGAAUUAGGCUUUCAUCUCUUAUAGAGAGGACUUCUGAUUGAGCUGCACCAAUUGUUGGUGAAUCAGUUGCUGACGAGUGCUGCAGGUCAGCAGUCAUCAUCUUCAGAGGAGCUGGGUUAGUGCUCCAUGGAAAUGUUACUCACAUGGUAGACUGUGAUCUGGGAAAAGUCCUCUUGCAGCUUCUUGAGCCCGACAGGGAAGCCCUCCACAAAUACACAGCACUUGCAGUUGUACGUCGGAGUACAGGCGUUGCUGAAGAGACUCAUGAGGACCAGGACGGACAGAAGGAGAGACCGAGGAGUCAUGCUGGUGGACGAGCGGCUGAAGUCUUCUGGAGACGGAGGAGAGUGGAGCCUCAGGAGUGCAGAUGCUUCUGGCUGAAUGGACGCAGAGGCUCCCUUAUAUCUGAGAGGGGGAGUCUUCUUGGUAGCACCUCGGUGAGUAGGUAAGAGAAGAGGAAGAGAAACGGUUGAGCAUUUUCACUCACAAUAACAGAGGAAAUAGUGCCACUCAGAUGGGAACGACAUGAUAUUGUGGUUGUGUGAGUGUGAUGAUGCUGUGGCUUCCCUCUGUAAGAUGUCAGACACAGCAGCUCCUUUCCUCAGGCUGUGAGACUCUGCAUAACCAAUUGUUCAUUUUAUUACUUGUUCAUCCACUUACAUAAUUUUUUGUAAGUGGGCCUUCAACUUUC